AGUGUUCUGAGUCACAAAAUGGUGAAAUUCACUAUUCCUUUUAGAUGGACAAUCUCAGCCAUUCAUCACCACUCAAUCUAAACCGCACGAUUUGUCUCGGACCCCUUCUCCUUUGGCUGCAACUUCUUUCUCUCACUCCACUCACCGUCACUCUCUCUCUCAUCUUCUCCAUCUUCCAUCUUCCAUCUUCUAGAUCUAGAUGUAGAAAAAUUAGGGUUUUGGCUAUGGCUGUCACAAAAGCUUGCAAUUUCUUCACUGUUACGACGACUCGGAGCGAUCUUCUCCUCUUCUUCACUUCGUCUCUCUCCUCUCUCAUCUUUUUCACGUCGUCUCUCUCCUCUCUCAUCUUCUUCAUGAUUCUCUCAUCAAUCUUUCUCCCAAUUUUUCACUGCUAAUUAUUUCGUUAAUGUUAUAUUGGUUUCUUUGAUGAUUUUUUCGGGUUAAUUUAUUCUGAAAUUGAGUAAUUUUAUGGUUAUUAAGGUUUCGUUUUUGAUUUUUUUUUCCAGAGAAUUGUGUAAUUUGGGAGAUGAACAAAGAUCGACCAUUUGAUCCUCUCGAUUUCUUCAUCUGAACUGUUGAGAGAAUUGUGUAGUUUGGGAGAUGAACAAAGAUCGACCAUUUGAUCCUCUCGAUUUCUUCAGCUGAACUGUUGAGGGUUUCAGAACAAAGGCUGGCCGUCUGAUCCUCUCGAAUUCUUCAUCUUCAUCUAGACUGUUGAGCAGAUGGUUCUUAAUGGCGAGCCGCAACAUGCAAGACAAGUUGUAAAGGUCUUGAGCACUUGCUUAUGCUCCAAUAGACAACGCUGAAAGGGAGUGAUGCAUCUACUGCUGAGUCGGGAUAUGAAGUGGAAGAUAUUGCUUCGCCUAGGGCAGCAAGGAAUUCCUCACAUUUGAGAUUCACCCCUGUUCGUGAAAGAGGGCUGAAAGUAGUAAAAUUGAGAAGAUUAUAGGCAAACAUUUAUGCUGGAGUUGCGGCGGAUCGAAAGCACGAGUGAGUAUAUGCAGUUGGCAGGAAGUGAUCACAAUAAGAGUGUUGUAGUGGAGAAAGGAGGUAGAAAUAAAGUGGUCAGGCUCUUUGGCAGAUUUGCAAAUUGCAACGGAUACUCGGAGGUCAAUUUUCAAGUGUUAUGUUGAAUUGUUAAACCGCUCUCUCUCUCCUCUUUCUUUCAGUGUGCUACACGAGAUGCAUCCUCCAUCAGUCCAUUGACAUUGCACCAGCACCCUAUGUGUGCUGAAGUAGCACGGAUACGGAUACGGAUACGGGUACGGGGACGGAAAACGGCAAAAUCAAAAUUUCUGAAAACGGCAAAGAAAAUUUCGAGUAUGACUGGACUGAGUGCCGAGCAUUUGGACUGACUGCCGACGAUGACCGGCGAGAUGACCGGCGAGACGACCGGCGAGAAGGAGCAACGAAGAACUUUGAAGGAGUUUUCAGUUCAGGUCAUUGAGGCAUUCCAGAAAUGUCAUGGAGAUCACCCUUUUGGCAAAAUUUGCGGCAAGUGCACUGAGCUCAAAAUUAAACUUGAUCGCUGCUUUAUGCAGGAGAGCAAGUUAUAGCCUGUCAUAGUAAGGAUCCUAUCCUAAGUUACUUGUACUUGAUGAUAAGAAUAGUCCAUUAUCUACAGAAGACUUGCGUUUAGAAAAUUUCGUCAAGACAAAGAAGCAAUGGAGGUUGUGUCUGCCUAAAGCAUAUCACUCUCUUUUACUUCAGCGACAUCGACAUAAUAUGCGGGAAGCCAAGAAGGAUGUCGCUAAUGCUAUUGAUUAAAUAAAUUAUAAGAGGGUGACCUUUGGUUUGCUAACCCAGAGUGGGACGUCAAUCGGGAGAAUUAAGUCAAAAAGUUAUCGAUUGAAGCUUGAAUUCAUCUUAUGGAAAAUGGCAACGUAAGCAUGAAGUCAAGGGAUGGACCUAGCAAUGUUGGACGACAUUAACGGACGACUUUUGGAGGUUUAGUUUCUAGGGUUUCCGUCAUUGUUAUUGAUAGAUUCGACGACUAUUGCAUCGCUUGUCGUGAAACUUUGAUGCGUCAAACCUUAUCUAUCUCUUUCUCUUCUCUUUUCCCAUCGAGUUCUUCCACCAACCUGAUCACAAAGGUAAAUUUCUUCGAUUUUUCUCGCAAUCUUCCGUUUUUAGGUUUUACGAUUUUACUAAUCUUUGCUGUAAUGUCUGUAUAAGUCACAAAGUAUGUACAGAUUCAGGAGAUGCAGGAGAUUGUCAAUUAUCAUCCACUUCACUAGAGAUUCAGGAGAUGCUAACAAAAUAUUAAUUUGGUUUCUUUUGGAGUCUCUGGUUGGUGGUCAAGAAAAGUGCAUGCUUUGCCGAGCACCCGCUGACUGUCACUGCGUCAGCACUUACAACUUAUACCUCGAGUAUUAACAAUGAGCCAAGGGUAGUUUAAACAUUCAAACAUCAUGUAAAAUGAAUCCUUUUAUCUUCGUUUCUUUCCUCUACAAUAUGCAUUUUCUUUUAUUUAUAUAAUAAAGUCGUAGAGACGAUGUUUUUUUGAUGAAAA